rnacentral:rRNA from 1 species
CCUACGGGUGGCAGCAGUCGAGAAUCAUUCACAAUGGGGGAAACACUGAUGGUGCGACUCCGCGUGGGGGAAUGAAGGUCUUCGGAUUGUAAACCCCUGUCAUGUGGGAGCAAAUUAAAAAGCUAGUACCAUAAGAGGAAGAGACGGCUAACUGUGUGCCAGCAGCCGCGGUAAUACAGAGGUCUCAAGCGUUGUUCGGAAUCACUGGGCGUAAAUCGUGCGUAGGCUGUUUCGUAAGUCGUGUGCGAAAGGCGCGGGCUGAACCCGCGGACGGCACUGAUACUGGGAGAGUAGAGUAAUGGAGGGGGAACCGGAAUUCGCGGUGUAGGAGGGAAAGGCGUAGAUAUCGAGAGGAACACUCGUGGCGAAGGCGGGUUCCUGGACAUUAACUGACGCUGAGGCACGAAGGCCAGGGGAGCGAAAGGGAUUAGAUACCCCAGUAGUC